GAAAACUACUCAACUCCUUAGAAUAAUGACUUGUAGGAAUUAAGAAAAAAAAUCAAAUAUACUUCCCACAAAGAGAGUUCAUGAGCGAGUCUCGUCAGUUUCAAAAUCAAACAAUUCCAGGAGCUGCAAUCUCCUUCUCAGAUUAAGAAAAAUGUUGUGCUAGCUUUUCAGGAAGAUACGAAACAAUAUAACUCUCAAUUAGAGACUCCACAAAAGAGCGAGCAUAAUCAAGUGAGAUUGGAGUUUUAAAGCAAAGAAAGGACAAGCAAUUGGAGUUCAUGAAGCCUGUCGUAACUACGUCAGAGGUAGCUCCUCGACCUCCAACUUCUGGUUUGAUUCAAACACUUAAAUCUCUUGUGAUUUUUGCAUUAAAUUCAGUGGUUGAUUUGUGUUUAAAGAAAAUAUAACUAGUAAUGAAGAGUUUGAUGUCAAGAUUGGUAAAGGAAACAAGAUUGAUUCGUGGGAAUUAGAAAAUAUGUUGUGCCUAAAAUGUGUUUGUGGAAAUAAAAAUAGGAAUUGUCGAUGCUACUGUUUUCAUGUGCAGAAAUGGAUAUAUAAUGAUAUAUUCAUUCUUAAAGAAACAGAGUUUGAGAAAUGGAGAAAGCAAAGGAAAAGAGUGAAUGUCUUGUUAGUGCUGGCAAUUUUUCGUAUCUUCCACAUCAAUUUGUUAAAGAAGAUUAUAGGGUCUAAUACUACAGUUGUUUUGAGUCUUCGACACAUUAGCUUUUUUUAUUCCAAAUCAACCUGCUGCUAUAUUGGAUUAAAGAGUCAUGGAAAGGUGCUUCAGUUCAAGAGCUUUCAGUCCAAUAUUCCAAACUAUCACCAAGGAAGAAGCCACUUGGGAAGACUUGUCAUUCUUGCAAUCCCAAUUUCCUACAUUUUUUCCUUGAGGACAAGAAAAAUGUGCAAGAGCCAAUCCUACACCUUAAAUGCAGUACAUGGUGUCUCAGCGGAAAGGUUCUGGAAGAAAUGAAAAAUGGCUAUGGAAGUUGUUGUUUGUUAUUAUUAGCUGUUAGUGAAUUAGUUGUUAUUUUGUUCUGUAGUGCCCAGUAACAGGAUUGAGAGAGAUGCUCUCAAUCCUUGGUUAUUAAUAUGCUGGAAUAUAAGAAGAAAAGGCAGACCUGAUUAUCAAUAAACUUUCUCUAUUCUCAUUCUACUACUCUCUUUCUUUUUAUUCCUUCUGUGUUCUUCUUUAUUUUCCUCCUCUUUCUCUUCCGGUUUCUCAUCUCCUAAACAUUCUAUUUAUCUCAAAGGUCAUGCCUCUCAGCUGAGGUACAUGACACACAGAAAAAUUAACUUGGUUAAAUUCCUCUAUUGAAUAUUAAAUACCUUCCCGUAGAAUUUUAGAUCCUGUUUCUAUAAUUAAAUCAUCAAAAGAAGUCCAAAAUGAAAUUACUAUCUACUAAUGUUUAUCUUUUGUUCUCUUUCAUGUAGAGCCACAAGUCCAAGUCUAUACAUUCAAAAAAAGAAAAAAAAGAAGAAGAAGAAGAAGAAGAAGAAAUUCAUCAUCAAUCCAGAGCAAUAUAGCAUUUUCUAUUCUUCAAUGAUUGAUUUAGUAAAGCUUGUUCCUAGCAACUUCUGACUUAUCUCAAAUUCAUAAACUUGUGCACAUGGCAGAUUUAUUUUUAUUUUUUUGUUUGUUUUAUAUAUCAUGUUCAAAGAUCUGCAACAGAGUUUCACAAUAAUGCUUGUGAAAAGUCAGAUCAAAGAUGAUAAAAGGCUCAUAACAUAAAUUAUAAUUUAUCGAACUCAGCUAUUAUAAUUUAUUGAGUCGUCACAAGAAAACAGGAAAAUACAUCAUCUCUCCCUCUUUUAAAGUCUCAUGACAUGUCCCUUGGGCACCAUAGAACAAGAUUGUAAUACUCAGAAUUUUUAUAUAUUUAAUAAUUAGUUUCUAUUUAAGUUAA
rnacentral:lncRNA from 1 species